rnacentral:rRNA from 1 species
UGGGGAAUAUUGCACAAUGGGCGAAAGCCUGAUGCAGCGACGCCGCGUGAGGGAUGACGGCCUUCGGGUUGUAAACCUCUUUCAGUAGGGAAGAAGCGUAAGUGACGGUACCUGCAGAAGAAGCGCCGGCUAACUACGUGCCAGCAGCCGCGGUAAUACGUAGGGCGCAAGCGUUAUCCGGAAUUAUUGGGCGUAAAGAGCUCGUAGGCGGUUUGUCGCGUCUGCCGUGAAAGUCCGGGGCUCAACUCCGGAUCUGCGGUGGGUACGGGCAGACUAGAGUGAUGUAGGGGAGACUGGAAUUCCUGGUGUAGCGGUGAAAUGCGCAGAUAUCAGGAGGAACACCGAUGGCGAAGGCAGGUCUCUGGGCAUUAACUGACGCUGAGGAGCGAAAGCAUGGGGAGCGAACA